rnacentral:rRNA from 1 species
GCAAGUCGAGGGGUAACAGAGAAGCUUGCUUUUGCUGACGACCGGCGCACGGGUGCGUAACGCGUAUGCAACCUACCCUAUACUGGAGAAUAGCCCGAAGAAAUUCGGAUUAAUACUCCAUAGUAUUUUCUUUUCGCAUGAAAAGAUUCUUAAAGAUUUAUUGGUAUAGGAUGGGCAUGCGUUAGAUUAGCUAGUUGGAGAGGUAACGGCUCACCAAGGCUACGAUCUAUAGGGGGCCUGAGAGGGUGACC